CAAGUCGCACGAGAAAGUGGAGCAAUCCAUGAGUACAGUGGCGUACGGGUGAGUAACACGUGGAUCAUCUACCUUUUAGUGGGGAAUACCCCCGGGAAACUGGGAAUAAUACCGCAUAAGCUCGUAAGAGGAAAGCAGCAAUGCGCUGAAAGAGGAGUCCGCGGCUGAUUAGCUAGUUGGUGAGGUAAUGGCUCACCAAGGCGAAGAUCGGUAGCCGGCCUGAGAGGGCACACGGCCACACUGGCACUGAAACACGGGCCAGACUCCUACGGGAGGCAGCAGUGGGGAAUCUUGCACAAUGGAGGAAACUCUGAUGCAGCGACGCCGCGUGAGCGAUGAAGCCCUUCGGGGUGUAAAGCUCUUUCGACGGGAACGAUAAUGACGGUACCCGAAGAAGAAGCUGCGGCUAACUACGUGCCAGCAGCCACGGUAAUACGUAGGCAGCAAGCGUUGUUCGGAAUUACUGGGCGUAAAGAGUGUGUAGGCGGUGCUCUAAGUCUGUUGUGAAAUCUCCCGGCUUAACCGGGAGGGUGCGGCGGAAACUGGAGUGCUUGAGGGUGGGAGAGGUAAGCGGAAUUCCUGGUGUAGCGGUGAAAUGCGUAGAUAUCAGGAGGAACACCUGUGGUGUAGACAGCUUACUGGACCACUUCUGACGCUGAGACAGGAAAGCGU
rnacentral:rRNA from 1 species